AUUGCAUCCAUUAAAUAAUAAAGAAAUAAAAGGGAUUGUUCCAGAUCAAGCGACAUGACAAUCAAGUGCAAAAUAUGAUUCUAGAUUGGGACAACUGGUGAAAUUGGAUGGGACUGGAUUUGAUGGUAGUAUCAUUUUUAAGAUAAUUUCCCAAUUUAUCAGGUUUUACUGUGAUUUUGUAGGGAAGUGUCCUUGCCUUUUAGGAAAUACACACUGAAGUAUUGACAGUGUAUCACAUCUGCAACUUACUCUCAGUUGGUUCUGGAGAUAGUAAUUGUGUAUGUGUGUGUAUUUAUACCUCUUUUGGGGUGGUUGUGUAGACGUAAAUUUCUAUUUCAUUCUAAACUUACCUGCAUAAUAUGUAAUUACUACCCUUUAAAAAAAUAAAGAAACAAACCUAAUUACCACUCUCAAAAUUAGAAAUAAGUAAAAAUAAAAAUAAAGCCCCCAGGAAACCCAAAGCUUCAGUAUUUUAAAUUGCUGUUUGGUGAUGGCAGAGCCCCAUGGAUGAUCUGAGGGCUUGGGGUUUUCACAGCCCAUGUCCACAAUGAUGCAGGUGAAUGCACAGGGACGGUAGGAAAUUGACCAUAGAAUGAAGAAAAAGAAAUUGUCGAGAAACUUCUAGUGCAGCUGGAUACAAACUAUGAAGAGACAAAUGGCUCAGCUUCAUAACCAAUCAGAAUUUCUUUUUCUAUUGAAAAGGUG